rnacentral:rRNA from 1 species
UACGUAGGGGGCAAGCGUUGUCCGGAUUUAUUGGGCGUAAAGAGCGUGUAGGCGGCUAGGUAGGUCCGUUGUGAAAACUCGAGGCUCAACCUCGAGCUGUCGAUGGAAACCAUCUGGCUAGAGUCCGGAAGAGGAGAGUGGAAUUCCUGGUGUAGCGGUGAAAUGCGUAGAUAUCUGGAGGAACACCGGUGGCGAAGGCGGCAUCCUGGACCAACACUGACGCUGAGGAGCGAAAGCCAGGGGAGCAAACGGG